rnacentral:rRNA from 1 species
GGAGUCUGGGCCGUGUCUCAGUCCCAAUGUGGCCGUUCACCCUCUCAGGCCGGCUACUGAUCGUCGACUUGGUGAGCCGUUACCUCACCAACUAUCUAAUCAGACGCGAGCCCAUCUUUGAGUGAUAAAUCUUUGAUACAAACUUCAUGCGAUGUCUGUAUGUUAUGAGGUAUUACCAUCCGUUUCCAGAAGCUAUCCCUCUCUCAAAGGCAGGUUGCUCACGUGUUACUCACCCGUCCGCCACUAAGAUAAUCCAAGUAAACUCAAAUUAUCUCCGUUCGACUUGCAUGUGUUAAGCGUGCCGCCAGCGU